UACGUAGGGGGCUAGCGUUGUCCGGAUUUAUUGGGCGUAAAGAGCGUGUAGGCGCCAGACAGGUCCGUUGUGAAAACUCGAGGCUCAACCUCGAGACGCCGAUGGAAACCGUCUGGCUAGAGUCCGGAAGAGGAGAGUGGAAUUCCUGGUGUAGCGGUGAAAUGCGCAGAUAUCAGGAAGAACACCCGUGGCUAAGGCGGCUCUCUAGUACGGUACUGACGCUGAGACGCGAAAGCGUGGGGGAGCGAACAGG
rnacentral:rRNA from 1 species